UACGUAGGUGGCAGGCGUUGUCCGGAUUUACUGGGUGUAAAGGGCGUGUAGCCGGGCUUACAAGUCAGAUGUGAAAUCCGGGGGCUCAACCCCCGAACUGCAUUUGAAACUGUAGGUCUUGAGUAUCGGAGAGGCAGGCGGAAUUCCUAGUGUAGCGGUGAAAUGCGUAGAUAUUAGGAGGAACACCAGUGGCGAAGGCGGCCUGCUGGACGACAACUGACGGUGAGGCGCGAAAGCGUGGGGAGCAAACAGG
rnacentral:rRNA from 1 species